UACGGAGGGUGCAAGCGUUAUCCGGAUUUACUGGGUUUAAAGGGUGCGUAGGUGGUCUAUUAAGUCAGUGCUGAAAUAUCCCGGCUUAACCGGGAGGGUGGCAUUGAUACUGAUAGACUUGAGUAGAGUUGAGGUAGGCGGAAUUGACGGUGUAGCGGUGAAAUGCUUAGAUAUCUGGAGGAACACCGGUGGCGAGGGCGGCAUCCUGGACCAAUACUGACGCUGAGGAGCGAAAGCCAGGGGAGCAAACGGG
rnacentral:rRNA from 1 species